AUGCCGCCGCCACCACUCACUAUCCCACCUCGGGAUCUCCUCCCGAUCCAAAAACCCACCGGGUCAACCACCUUCUCCCCUCGACCCUCCCAGAUCCACCUCUCCAAUCCGCCUCUGACCACCUCCCUGGUUUACCGCGCCGCCCAAAUCGCAGCAGCCAACCAUCAUUCUCCUACCUCCUGCCCGAGCAAGCACGGCCAAGGCCACACUCACCGAAGUUCUGUACCAACCCAAGCUGCUCCGCCUCCGUUGUCGUCCCAGCGGAGUCCCGUCCUCCCGAGCUCUCCCGCAGGCAGCCCAGUGCACGCUUCAGUCAGGAUCGGGGUGGCUACCCGUGCAGCAAACAGGAGCACGAGCCCCUCCUUCCACACCCCGCAGCUGAGGGACGCCCCGACCCCGUUGUUCAUCGCCGAACCAGUAGAUGAUCCUCGCCACCCUUGCUCAAGGAGCAUCCGCGCCAUGGCCUCGCUGAGCUUUGCCCGCACCAGCGCCUCGAUGAGAUCCUCGCCUGCCCUGCGCCAUGGACCCGUGCCAGCCUUCCUUCCCCGCGCCGUUCCUCGCGCGCCGGACCUCCCCAACUUCGCCGGAGCACCGCAGUGUCCGCUUGAUCCUCUGCUUCAUCGCCGCCAUGGGUCACGAGAGCCUCGAUCCCCCUGCCAUGUCGCCUCGCCAGGACAUACCGAUCGCCCGGAUCCGUGUCUCCGCCGUCUUGCCCGUUCCGGCCGGAUCCCGCCGGCUGGGCCCUGUCCCCGGUCACCGAUGCCCUCGCCGGAGACCACCGGCAAGCGGCAGCGCCAAGCCCGCCUGCAAGCCGCUCCAGCACCGCUGCUCCUCUGCUUCUCUGUCGAACAGAGGGCGCCGCGCCCGUAUCCUCCCCGCUUCGCGCAUCUGGGCCCAGCCAGCGCCAAGCCAGCCUGCCUGUCCUCUUCACCAACGGGCCAAGCCCAUGUUGUAUCCGGUAACGUCGUGUUGUGA
rnacentral:rRNA from 1 species